GAUGAACGCUAGCGGCAGGCUUAAUACAUGCAAGACGAACGGUAAGUUAGGUAGCAAUACUUGACCUAGAGUGUCGUACGGGUGCGUAACGCGUAUGCAAUCUGCCUUGUACAAAGGGAUAGCCCAGAGAAAUUUGGAUUAAUACCUUAUAGUAUAUCGAUGUGGCAUCACAUUGUUAUUAAAGAUUUAUCGGUACAAGA
rnacentral:rRNA from 1 species